rnacentral:rRNA from 1 species
CCUACGGGAGGCAGCAGUGAGGAAUAUUGGUCAAUGGACGAGAGUCUGAACCAGCCAAGUAGCGUGAAGGAUGACUGCCCUAUGGGUUGUAAACUUCUUUUAUAUGGGAAUAAAAUGUUCCACGUGUGGGAUUUUGUAUGUACCAUAUGAAUAAGGAUCGGCUAACUCCGUGCCAGCAGCCGCGGUAAUACGGAGGAUCCGAGCGUUAUCCGGAUUUAUUGGGUUUAAAGGGAGCGUAGGUGGAUUGUUAAGUCAGUUGUGAAAGUUUGCGGCUAAACCGUAAAAUUGCAGUUGAAACUGGCAGUCUUGAGUACAGUAGAGGUGGGCGGAAUUCGUGGUGUAGCGGUGAAAUGCUUAGAUAUCACGAAGAACUCCGAUUGCGAAGGCAGUUCACUGGACUGCAACUGACACUGAGGCUCGAAAGUGUGGGUAUCAAACAGGAUUAGAUACCCGUGUAGUC